UAAAUAUUACAUUCCUGUCAAGUGAUUUUAAUCUAUACACGUGUUUAUAUUUUCCGGUAUAUUUUGGUAAUGUAUGAAAAUGAUCAAUGUAAUAUUUCACAGAAACGUUGGAUCAUGAUGGUGGCUCUAAGAAAAAUUUAUGUAAAUUUAAAUAAAAAAGUCGAUACAAAUUUCAUUUUAUUAUUCCUUUUAAAAAUGGAUGUGUUCUUUCUUCUUUUGAUGAAAACCGCCGACGCCUUACAUGGUGACAAUUUAUGUCAGGAUCCUAGCAAUAAUGUGACUAAAUGCUGUAAAGAUUACGAGAAAAGGGGUGACAAGUGUGUCGAGUGUAGAUUAGGGUAUCAUGGAACUAAUUGCACCACUAAGUGUAAAGAUGGUUACUUUGGGCGACUCUGUGCUACAAAAUGUAACUGUCAUCAUGAUUUUGACUGUCAUUAUGUAUGUGGCUGUGUGAGUUCAUCAUUCAUCAACGAUACAACAGCUGAGACGUGUGAUCAUGGAAUGACGGAUAGCACAGCAAGUAUGACGCGUUCAUACACAACUCAACCUAUUGUAAAUUGUUCGAAAAACGU